CGAGAGGGGGAGGGGAAGAGAAAGAGAGAGGGACACAGAGGAUCCAAAGCGGGCUCUGCAGCAGCCUGUGCUUAGGUUCUAUCGAGUCUCAGGGUCACCACUGUGUUAACCGGCUCAUCGCAGGCACAGAAUGUCUCAAGGAGUGUCCAAUUUUAUUACAAACAUCUCAUUUGCAAUAGGAGGUUCAUGAAUGGAGUUCUCAGGACAGGUGUUCAACCCCUACCAGGAACCAAGAGCAAGCCAACAGCUGUUUCUCAAAAGGAAAAGUAUUACUUGUCAAAGAGUGUGUGCUUACACUCAAACACCCUAGGGGCCUCUACGGUGGUUUGUUUAUUGGAAUUUUUAUAGGAUUUAGACAGCAUUCCAAUCUGCUGCGGAAUUUUUGAGUCCUUCUGGAUUCACUAGGUCAUAAAGUGCUGCCUACUGCGAAACUUAUAUUUUCUAGCCUUCUCAGAUCCCACGUUCCGCUCAAAAUUCGCAGCCACUGGGCUUUCUUGUAAGUGAAUCAAAGGAGCACACCUGUAUCAUAUGUUACUUCCAAAACCCAAUGAGGCUUGUCAAGUGUUACAACUUUUUCUUUACCGCUGUCCGAUGCAAGGCGUAUUAAGUUGUCUUUCAUAUUGACAAGGAUAUCCCUAUGUACCUCAGACAGGUCACUUCAGGCUCCAUGACUCUAUGAAUGUAGAAAACUCCAGCACGGAAAAAUAUCUGAGUAAUUACUUAUCCCUCAGUGUCACGUCAGAGUUACUGUAAUUAAUUAAAAGGUUUGGGCUCAUUGUUCUAUCUUCGCCAUUUACGGCUUUCUGGAUUUUUACAAUGAAAAUGUUGCGAUUGAAUCAAAGGCGUGG